UCUGAGUAACAGGUGGUCCAAAAACAUCCCAAAAGCGAAGAGUCUCAUCUGCCCCAGCUGACACCACUGUUAACCCAUCAGGGCUCUGCAAGAAGCCAUUUGAAGCUAUUGUAAUUGAUCAAGCAUACAAAUCUAUCACUUGAGAAAAUACUAAUAAUAAUUCAGACCAUACCUGAGAUACAUGGAGGACUCUAGAAGUGUGUCGAUCCAAGCCGCCGAUUUUGGUCAUCGAUGGAUACCUCCACAAAGAGAGUUGGUUUUGAUCUGCACUUGUACUAAAGCCAUGGCCACUUAAUAUCUCCUUGUGAUGCCUAUUCCAUUCUAAGCCACAAACCUGAAUUGAUCAAUAAGAUGGUUCCUUUUUGCACAUUCCAUAACUUAAUACAUCUGUCAUGGGUGCCACCUCCAGAAGCAAGUACAUCUGAAUCAUAAGGGCACCAAGCAAGGGCCUUCACUGCAGCAGAAUGAUCCUUGAAACAGUUCAAGAAAUUGGAAGAACUCAUCUUUGAUGAGUCCCAUAAAUAAAUAACAUUUUCAUUGCCACCACUUGCCAAUAUGUUCCCCCUGCUUGACCAUUUCAAGCCACAAACUUCUGCUUUGUGUGCUUUUACUCUUGAAAUCACAUUUCUUGCUCUAACUGCUUACAACAACACACCAAAAAGAAAAGAAAUAAGUGGUUGCAACCCUUUGAUCAUGACCUUCCAGGUUUCUUACCUAAGUGUACAUUACAAGAAUCAAGGACUUAAGUACAUCAAGACACUUUGUACACCAAAUAUUAAUAGAGAGGUGCAUUACCAGCUUUGAAGUCUCAGGAUCCCAGAGUUGAAGAUUAGAGUGCAUAAAUCCUAUUGCAAUGUAUCUAGUAUCAUCGGACCAAGCAACACUAGCCGGAUAAUUGUUGUUAGUGACUGUAAACAACUUAAGUACAUUGCUAUUCUGUGAGUUCCAAAGGUACAUUUCUGAGCCUAACGCAACCGCUAGAAUGUUGUUUUUCCCCCAGUCCAGAAGGUUUGUGUAGUAAUCAUUUCUAAUAUUUGGUGCAUCCAAUAUCCUUGAUUCACCCUGCAUUCACAGUAGUUCAGUUUACUCAACCAGAAGAUAAAUCUAGAAAAUGAUGAAGAAAUUGAUGGAUUUGAUUCCAAUUCUAUUUUCUCAAUGUAUGACUCUUAACAACUUUUGCAGGGAUGGGGAUUGUAUACUUCAAGAAGUAUAUAUAAUGACACA